rnacentral:ncRNA from 1 species
UAGGAACCGUGAGAUUAAGCCAUCGCGGCAGGUGCUCACGUUAAGCCCACUGACUUUCAUGUCCCUAUCUACUAUCUAGCGAAACCACAGCCAAGGGAACGGGCUUGGAAUAAUUAGCGGGGAAAGAAGACCCUUUUGAGCUUGACUCUAAUCUGGCAGUGUAAGGAGACAUAAGAGGUGUAGAAUAAGUGGGAGAUAUUAGACUUCGGUUUGGUAUCGACAAUGAAAUACCACUACUCUUAUUGUUUCCUUACUUACUUGAUUAAAUGGAACGUGUAUCAUUUCCUAGCCAUUAUACGGAUAUAAUUAUUAUGUCUUAUGGUAUUGGGUUCUGAUGCAAGCUUCUUGAUCAAAGUAUCACGAUUUUGUUAUAUAAUCGCAAACAAAUUCUUUAAUGAGAGAAUGCAUUUAUGUAUUAUUGAUUUAAAAAUUUGGUAUAACUCCAAUUACUCAGGUAUGAUCCAAUUCAAG